rnacentral:lncRNA from 1 species
GUGCUUGGGAGACAGUGAGUACGUGAAUCUGCCUGCAGAAGUUGGGAGUGGGGGGAAUAUUAUUAGGAUUAUUAGGAAGGGCAAAGUUCAGCAUCAUCCUCUCUGCUGAAAUAACCAACAUGGUGCUCAUUAAUUGGUCAUGUGAGCACUAAGGAUAACCACCCUCCCCUCCUCAAUCAGGAUCACAAAUGCUAGCUUUCAUAUGGAUUUCAAGCUGGGUGAAAUGACUUUUUUUGCUUGUAAAGAAGAAAUGAUGAUGGAGGUCUCAUCAGGAAGUGAUGCAGAAGACUGGGACAGACGGGGGUUUCACCAUGUUGGCCAGGAUGGUCUCAAACUCCUAACCUCGCGAUCCACCCACCUCGGCCUCCCAAAGUGCUAGGAUUACAGGCGUGAGGCACUGCACCCAGCCCAUCAUAAGUAUUUUCAUGUAUCAUCAUGUAUUUUAGAAAAUGGUAUUAUUGACUAUAUAUCAGUUCAUUGUGUGCACACAUUUUAUUUAAUUAAUUUGCUCUUUUCAGUUAUUUAGUUUUCUUUUUUUGUUAUUAUAAAUUUCAUAGUAAUAUAUGUCCUUAUACAUAAAUCUGAGUAUGAAUCUAGGAUUAUUUACUUAAAAUGAAUUUCCAGACACAAAUUGUGGGGUUAAAGUGGGAGGAGCAUUUUUAAAGCUUUUGAUAUAUACCGCUAAAUUGUCUUAUAGGAAUGUAUAAAUUAUGAAACAACCAGCUGUCCAUGUGAGACCAUGCAUUUCCUUAUCCAAAUGAAGUUAAAGAAAUUAUUUGUCAGCUUUUUUGGUGGUAUGUGGUAACUCCUUUUCCUGAUUUGAAUGUUUUUCUAGUACUAGUGACUUUUUACAGGUUUUUCUUAUGUUUGUUGGUUGAGUUUUUUUUUUUAAUGUCUAUGCCUAUCUUAGUAUCUAUGCCUAUUUUAAUUUUUUAAUGUCUAUGUACUUUCUUUUGGAGCAUGUUGUAUGAUAUUUUAUAAAUAAAAGGUGUUAACUCUGUCAUUAUAGUGUAAAUAUAUUUCCCAAUAUGUUUUUAAAUUUUCAUUUAUGAUAUAUAGAAAUUUUAACUUUUAUAUAUUAAAAAUAUCUAUAUUUAAAUGACUUUGUCCAGAUGUAGUGACUCAUGCCUGUAAUCACAGAAUUUUGAGAGGCUAUGUCAAGAGGAUUGCUUGAGGCCAGGAGUUCCUGGCCAGCCUGGACGACACAGUGAGACCCCUAUCUCUAAAAAAGUUUUUUUUCAAACAAUCCUGCCACCUCAGCUUCCUAAAGUGCUGGGAUUACAGGCAUGAACCAUUGAGCCCAGGUUCUUUGUAAUAUCUUCCUCCACGUUUUUACGUAUCAAUCCUGCAUUCAAACAUUUACUCAUUCUGAAACAAAUUUUAGUAUAUGUUAUAAGGUAUUGAUCCAAAUUUUUACGUUUAUAAAUAGUUAACAUCUCCAAACCAUUUAUUGAUAUUAAUUUCACCUUCAUCAUAUUGUAAAUUAUAGUUUUGAUUUUCCUUUUUGACAAUGAAUUAUCUAAGAGGAUACUUUAGAAUUUUCAAACUUAAUAAAAAACUUUU